rnacentral:rRNA from 1 species
ACGGAGGGUGCGAACGUUAAUCGGAAUUACUGGGCGUAAAGCGCGCGUAGGCGGAUCGUUAAGUGGGAUGUGAAAGCCCUGGGCUCAACCUAGGAAUUGCAUUGCAAACUGGCGAUCUAGAGUACGGUAGAGGGAGGUGGAAUGUCCUGUGUAGCGGUGAAAUGCGUAGAUAUAGGACGGAACACCAGUGGCGAAGGCGGCCUCCUGGACUGAUACUGACGCUGAGGUGCGAAAGCGUGGGGAGCAAACAGG